rnacentral:rRNA from 1 species
GACAGAGGGUGCAAACGUUGUUCGGAAUUACUGGGCGUAAAGCGCGUGUAGGCGGUACGGUAAGUCGGGUGUGAAAGCCCUGGGCUCAACCCAGGAAGUGCAUUCGAUACUACCGCACUAGAGUCCCGGAGAGGUUGGUGGAACUCUCGGUGUAGAGGUGAAAUUCGUAGAUAUCGAGAAGAACGACCGGUGGCGAAGGCGGCCUGCUGGGCAGUAGCUGACACUGAGGCGCGACAGCGUGGGGAGCAAACAGG